AGUUAGUGUAGAGCUUGAUAG
rnacentral:miRNA from 1 species